AGAGCAAGUCAAGCUCAUUAACUCUCUCAAACGUUUCUGAAUAUUUCACAUUCUGUGGAGGUCUUGUUCUCUCCAUGAUUGUGGCACUUCUGGAUUAUUGCAUUAGAAUGAGGCUCAGACAGAGGAACUGCAAAACAGGCAUAACUUCAAUUCGAUUUUCCCGAAAAAAAGACAGAUCAAGGGAAAGAACAACACGGAGCAGCUACCGACAACCUACGUCCAAUGUAAUGUCAGGCAACAACGGAACAUGCCCAUAUUCAAGAGAAGCACUGCACUCGUGUAUUGAUACGCUGGACAACUCAUUAUGACAGUGACUUCUGCUACUCCAGUCACACACAAGUCUGCCUUUGGUCGGCACGGACUGUGAGUUCUCAGGGUGUCGUAGGAACACUUCAUCGAAAUUUGCUUCAUCUCCAUGCUCUGCAACCGUCACACAAUGAAUCUGUAUCCUAUACACGUCCGUGGUCACACGCAGGCCUACACGCGAAGGGAGACAAUCUCACUAUCGCCCUGCGCUAAUUCUGCCUCCAUGUCCAUCAACGUGUUUUGGAUGCGGUGGAGUACAUCGGUUCCCGGUCAUUCAUCAAAAGGCUAAAAAAUAGAAUGAUCCUGGAGAGUUUUCAACAGAUUUUUGCAAAGUUUGGUCCAAAAAGAAUCGUCAGCAAAUAUAUCCUGUUGAUCCAUGUGUUUUUAGUUUGGCGCGAUGUGAUAUGAAGCCGUUAAAAGCUUGUGUUCACACCUCUAAAUAAGCAUUACUUGUGUCCCUUAAUGUGAAAGCUAUUUAUGAUCGUGCGUGUGUGUGUGUGCUUGCUUUUUGUCAAUUUGUGUGUGCGUGCAUACGAUCGCGCAUGUGUGUGGUGUGAGAAGAGAGAGAAGGAGAGCAUGCAGUCCUUCAUUACGAACAAAAGUCUUAAAGAUCAUUUUCCCCAGCACUAUGUGAGUAAUUUCAAACUAUUUUUAAAGAAAAGGUUUACUUAUUGUGUGUUUUGUUCAUGUGUUUUUAACUGUGGAUCAUGGAGAAUAUUUUCAUUGACACAAUGACUGGUUGAUAGACAACGACGUGAGCACAAUGUCCUAUUUCACAGCGACUCUUGGCCUUAAUUUGCUUUUAACAUUUUGUAAAGAUGUUCGCGAAUGAUCAUUAGCAUACUGGAGUCUGCUUGAUGGAUUUACUUUCAGUGCAAUAUAAUGGCCUUAGUUGCUGCCGCAGUGUAUCGCUGUGUUUGGAGUUCAUUUACUUUGCUUGUCAUUUUACUUUUCAAAUGCAAAUUUGCAAAAAUAAAUUGGAAUGGUUUGGAAAUGAGAGAGGCUUUAUAUCAUGCACAUCGUAUGACCAUGUGAUGUCUCAUUACUGAGAUUUCUUGUUUACAAAUCCAAACAAAAAUGAACACCAUCCCUUUGUGUCUUUAACCACAUUUAUUGACUGAUAUAAAUAUUAAAAUGUCUGAGAAUGUAAUGGUUUCUGGAAUAUUUUUGCAUCAAUCAUUACAUCUUCCCUAUUAGAAACGGAACUGCAUAAGAAAUGCUCACCGUGCAACAUUCUUUGUCAAUAAAGAUGCAACAUUGUGUAUCACAAAUCACGUCCUAGGUAUAACCAGACAUUAUAAAAUCCAUCAGACUGAAUAGUUGUCGCUUUUGCUUAAGAAACUUGCAAUUUGAAAGAAACAUCCAAGGUUUGUAUCACAAGUAUUAACGGAAAAGUAUAUCAAUAUACAAUGAAACUCUUAAUUUUAAACAAAAUAAAGACCUGAGGGUUUGUUUGUUGUUUUUUUUCUUUUUUUUCUUUUUUUUCUUUUUUUUUUUCUUUUUUUGUUGUUAACUUUUUAAUGCCUUGUUUUCUGACGUCAUAAAUAGCAGUUGGUUACUAGCUGAUUAUGUAAUUUGCUUGUGGGAAGGGGAGAUGAUUCGUCCUGUAUUCUCUUAUGCCUCACUCUGCUGCACGCGCAAACAUGGCCUUUCACGCUGCAAUGAAUAAACAAUUCCCUGGUG
rnacentral:lncRNA from 1 species